ACGACGAAAACUACGCACUAGCAGCUUAAUAACCUGUAUAGGCCCUCCCACUCAAGUUUUUUCUACUAGCUGAGGUUCGGGAGGUCAUCCCAGUAGGAUAGCGAGGGAAGCUUGUCUAAGGCUGAACCGCGAAAUAGUAUUAGGCCAGCCUGACGGAAUCCUGUUUGCCGGAGUCCCUAAGGUUAAAUAAAUGACAAACUAAGCAUGUAGUACCGACGGCUGACGCUUUCUGGACGCGGGUUCAACUCCCGCCAGC
rnacentral:tmRNA from 17 species